AAACUACUCCCUCUGUUCCAUAAUUCUUGUCUCAAAUUUGCCCAAAAAUGGAUGUAUCUAUUCCUCAAAAGUGUCAGAUACAUGUAAGAUUUUGACAAGAAUUAUGGAACGAAGGGAGUACAUC
rfam:Brachypodium distachyon strain Bd21 chromosome 1, whole genome shotgun sequence.